AAUGAUAUGUCUGUAUAUGAUGUUUCAGGUAGACACUGGCUGUAGAAAUCACAUGUUUGUAUAUGAUGUUUCAGGUAAACACUGGCUGUAGGAAAAUGAUAUGUUUGUAUAUUAUGUUUCAUGUAAACACUGGCUGCAGAAAUGAUAUGUGUGAACAUGAUGUUUCAGGUAGACACUGGCUGUAGAAAUGAUAUGUUUGUAUAUGAUGUUUCAGGUAGACACUGGCUGUAGAAAUGAUAUGUUUGUAUUUGAUGUUUCAGGUAGACACUGGCUGUAGAAAUGAUAUGUUUGUAUUUGAUGUUUCAGGUAGACACUGGCUGUAGAAAUGAUAUGUUUGUAUAUGAUGUUUCAGGUAGACACUGGCUGUAGAAAUGAUAUGUUUGUAUAUGAUGUUUCAGGUAGACACUGGCUGUAGAAAUGAAAUGUUUGUAUAUUAUGUUUCAGGUAGACACUGGCUGUAGAAAUGAUAUGUUUGUAUAUGUUGUUUCAGGUAGACACUGGCUGUAGAAAUGAUACGUUUGUUUAUGAUGUUUCAGGUAGACACUGGCUGUAUAAAUGAUAUGUUUGUAUAUGAUGUUUCAG